ensembl:lncRNA
UGAAACCGUUACUUUAAUAGACUAGAAUAUCCGUUACAGGGAGGAAGAAAGAUGGUGGCAAGUAGCUUAUCAGACAGUUUGUAUCAAAGUCAAAGCUUAGGCUCUUUGACUCUAUAAUCUAGAGUCAAAUAAUUUAAACAUUCCCAAAGAUAAUAUAAUUCCCCUGUCAAUCUAAUUGCUGAAAUCAUCAGCAUGUUUGAAACAAGUCACAUGAUCUACUAGAUUGUGAAUUUCUUUACAACAGAAUCUAUCCUGAGUUUACACGCAAAAAAAAAGUACUUGAAAUCAUUAAAAGUGAAUGUUUCUAACAAACAAGAUUGUCUAAUAGUGAAAUAUGCUCCCUUUUAGGUGAAUAUAAAUGAUGAGCCUCCUGUAUGCAAUCCACCACAUUUGGAAACUCAAAUUUAUUCCACUGUUAAGAGUCCUUUCAUUCAGCUCCACGGUUCAGACAAAGAUUCUCCACAGGAACAUCUGAGCUAUACAAUUGUAGGAGGAAAUACAAAUAAUCAAUUCACACUUCAGAGACUAGGUGGUGAUCCUCCUUCUCUGGCCAUCACGCAGAAUUUCCAGUAUGAUGUAUUUCAAGGGGUUCGGAGCCCUGUGACUUUCCAGCUACUUAUUGAAGUCACUGAUGAAUUAGGUGGGAAUAAGCCUAGUCAGCUGUCAGCCACUACAACAGUCAUAAUUCAUGUCCUUCCCUGGACCACAACACAGCCAACUUCUUCCACAAAAACAACUACAACUACAAUUACUACUUCUGUCUUAAUAAAGAUUUCGUAUUAUUGGAUCCCUGAUAACUGGAUUCCUGCGUUAUUAACUCUAACAGGAGCUCUUUUUGUGAUGUGCCUCUACGCUGUUGCAUGGUGCCUCUUUAAAGAUUCUCCCGUUUGUUCAAGAUUAUUUCCCCACUGUCACAAACAUCACCAGAGUCAACCAAGUCUCACACCCAAAGGGACUGGACUGGUACCAAGUGAUCCCAAACCAAACAUGAGACCAAACUUGCUUCCUGGAAAUCGUCAGCCAUGAAUAGUUCGUGGUGGAUGCACAAUUGACCCUGUGACAGAAAUACAAUAGCUGUUUAACAGUAAGACAGGAGAAGUCAAGAUGUUGAACAAUUAAGAAAAGAAUGUGAUGCCAAUGGAAGACAUUUGACUUUAAGCAGCAUAAAGGUCACCAUAUCUUCAUGUCACUUGCUUUCUUUGAAAAGGUCUUUUAAAACCACAGCUU